UACAGAGGGGGCAAGCGUUGUUCGGAAUUACUGGGCGUAAAGGGCGCGUAGGCGGCCUGCUAAGUCGGGACGUGAAAUCCCUCGGCUCAACCGGGGAACUGCGUCCGAUACUGGCGAGGCUUGAAUCCGGGAGAGGGAUGUGGAAUUCCAGGUGUAGCGGUGAAAUGCGUAGAUAUCUGGAGGAACACCCGUGGCGAAGGCGGCUCUCUGGGACGGUACUGACGCUGAGACGCGAAAGCGUGGGGAGCGAACGAGG
rnacentral:rRNA from 1 species